rnacentral:rRNA from 1 species
ACUCCUGCGGGAGGCAGCAGUGGGGAAUAUUGCACAAUGGGCGCAAGCCUGAUGCAGCCAUGCCGCGUGUAUGAAGAAGGCCUUCGGGUUGUAAAGUACUUUCAGCGGGGAGGAAGGCGAUAAGGUUAAUAACCUUGUCGAUUGACGUUACCCGCAGAAGAAGCACCGGCUAACUCCGUGCCAGCAGCCGCGGUAAUACGGAGGGUGCAAGCGUUAAUCGGAAUUACUGGGCGUAAAGCGCACGCAGGCGGUCUGUCAAGUCGGAUGUGAAAUCCCCGGGCUCAACCUGGGAACUGCAUUCGAAACUGGCAGGCUAGAGUCUUGUAGAGGGGGGUAGAAUUCCAGGUGUAGCGGUGAAAUGCGUAGAGAUCUGGAGGAAUACCGGUGGCGAAGGCGGCCCCCUGGACAAAGACUGACGCUCAGGUGCGAAAGCGUGGGGAGCAAACAGGAUUAGAUACCCCAGUAGUCCCAU